GCUCAACCGGGGAGGGUCAUUGGAAACUGGGGAACUUGAGUGCAGAAGAGGAGAGUGGAAUUCCACGUGUAGCGGUGAAAUGCGUAGAGAUGUGGAGGAACACCAGUGGCGAAGGCGACUCUCUGGUCUGUAACUGACGCUGAGGCGCGAAAGCGUGGGGAGCGAACAGGAUUAGAUACCCUGGUAGUCCACGCCGUAAACGAUGAGUGCUAAGUGUUAGAGGGUUUCCGCCCAUUAGUGCUGCAGCAAACGCAUUAAGCACUCCGCCUGGGGAGUACGGUCGCAAGACUGAAACUCAAAGGAAUUGACGGGGGCCCGCACAAGCGGUGGAGCAUGUGGUUUAAUUCGAAGCAACGCGAAGAACCUUACCAGGUCUUGACAUCCUCUGACAACCCUAGAGAUAGGGCUUCCCCUUCGGGGGCAGAGUGACAGGUGGUGCAUGGUUGUCGUCAGCUCGUGUCGUGAGAUGUUGGGUUAAGUCCCGCAACGAGCGCAACCCUUGAUCUUAGUUGCCAGCAUUCAGUUGGGCACUCUAAGGUGACUGCCGGUGACAAACCGGAGGAAGGUGGGGAUGACGUCAAAUCAUCAUGCCCCUUAUGACCUGGGCUACACACGUGCUACAAUGGGCAGAACAAAG
rnacentral:rRNA from 1 species